AGGUUACUGCUAUCGAGGUUCGACUAAGCCAUGCGAGUCGAAUGUAGCAAUACAUGGCGUACUGCUCAGUAACACGUGGACAACCUACCCUUAGGCCUGGGAUAACCCCGGGAAACUGGGAAUAAUACCGGAUAUCUCGCGAAUGCUGGAAUGCGUCGCGAUAGAAAGCUCCGGCGCCUAAGGAUGGGUCUGCGGCCUAUCAGGGUAGUAGUGGGUGUAACGUACCUACUAGCCUACGACGGGUACGGGUUGUGAGAGCAAGAGCCCGGAGAUGGAUUCUGAGACACGAAUCCAGGCCCUACGGGGUGCAGCAGGCGCGAAAACUUUACAAUGCUGGAAACAGCGAUAAGGGGACCUCGAGUGCCAGGAUACAAUCCUGGCUGUCGUAAUGCCUAAAAAGCAUUGCAUAGCAAGGGCCGGGCAAGACCGGUGCCAGCCGCCGCGGUAACACCGGCGGCCCGAGUGGU
rnacentral:rRNA from 1 species